AUGGACGGAUAAAAGACGUGCCACUCCUGUCUUGAGUUUUCUUAUAGCCACAUGAGGAGAUGUAAUAAAAAUGUGGAACGAGCAGGCAUGUACGCAGGUUCUUGCACUUGUCUUGCUUGCAAUUUCUGUAUAAACACCCCCACAACUUAUCCGCUCUGUAUAUAUUUUUUAUUUAUUAAAGAAUAACCGUUAUGAUCUACUCCCUCCGUUCUGAAUUAUUUGUCUUGGAUUUGUCUAGAUACAGAGGUAUCUAGCACUAAAAUGAGUCUAGAUACAUCCGUAUCUAGACAAAUCCAAGACAAGUAAUUCGGAACGGAGGGAGUAGAAACGACUACUGUUCUAAACCUUAAAUACUGUAUCCGUGGAUUUCAGCAUGCACGUCAAGGUAGCAUUUCCAUGCAGUUUUGGGUGUAUCGUUGAACAAAGUGGACCAGAAGCAUUGUUGAAUUUUAAACAAACACCUUAUACUUACUGCAGCUUGUGUUGUAGGGCUUUGAUGAAUACAUGAAUCUGGUCUUGGAGGAUGCUGAGGAGAUCAACACCAAGAAAAACACUAGGAAGUCUCUCGGUCGGAUCCUCUUGAAAGGAGAUAACAUUACACUAAUGAUGAACACGGGAAAGUAACAACAGCUCAGUGACUGUUCUAUUGCAAGGAUAACUAACAACCAACUUAUCCUGAGCUCCUAGGGUUGCAAACUCGAGGCCGUAACAGAUGUUCCUCUCUGUGUUCUCAUCGAAAUUUGAUUGUAAUAUGAUAUAUUUUGCCAGAGAGAAUAGGCUCUGUGAGGUAAAAGUGUGCUAUCCAGAUCGUGAGCUUAACACUUGUGCUAGCUUAAUUCAGAGGCAUUGAUGUUCUGGUGGUUUGUGCUCUCAUUGAGAUAUGAACGUGGUGGUACUGAUUGUUCUCUUGGAAUUUUUUAGGCCCUUGUGUAAGAUAAAAGUAUCAUGCUGUGAAAGUUCUUGUGAGAAAUUACUUCUCCUCAGUUUGCA